rnacentral:rRNA from 1 species
GAUGAACGCUGGCGGCGUGCCUAAUACAUGCAAGUCGAGCGAACGGACGAGAAGCUUGCUUCUCUGAUGUUAGCGGCGGACGGGUGAGUAACACGUGGAUAACCUACCUAUAAGACUGGGAUAACUUCGGGAAACCGGAGCUAAUACCGGAUAAUAUUUUGAACCGCAUGGUUCAAAAGUGAAAGACGGUCUUGCUGUCACUUAUAGCUGGAUCCGCGCUGCAUUAGCUAGUUGGUAAGGUAACGGCUUACCAAGGCAACGAUGCAUAGCCGACCUGAGAGGGUGAUCGGCCACACAGGAACUGAGACACGGACCAGACUCCUACGGGAGGCAGCAGUAGGGAAUCUUCCGCAAUGGGCGAAAGCCUGACGGAGCAACGCCGCGUGAGUGAUGAAGGUCGUCGGAUCGUAAAACUCUGUUAUGAGGGAAGAACAUAUGUGUAAGUAACUGUGCACAUCGUGACGGUACCUAAUCAGAAAGCCACGGCUAACUACGUG